rnacentral:tRNA from 1 species
GGAGGCAUGGCUGAAUGGUAAACAUCUGCUUUGCAUGCAUAAGGUCUCAGGUUCAAUCCCUGUCAUCUCCA